AAUAGAUAACCUGGCUAUGCCCCUGCAUUCAAAUCAUGAGACAUUCAGAUUGAUCAGUUAAGAUGUGUAUUGCUGCUAGAUUUGAUGAUCAUUGUUCAACACUACAACUCUCCUCUUCUCCAAAACUCUUCUUUCACUUGAAGAGGUCAAGCCAAGCACCCCUAAGCUAAUUUAUUUACGUUUAACUAUCGAUUAUGAUUCUAAUCGUUCGUUCAUAUAGCUGCCCGAUGUCCCCAUGCUAAAUUCUUGAAUCCGUCAAGGUUCUUCAGAAGUUGGGGUAGUGCUGUGUCCACUUUGCCCUCCCCCGACCCACCUAACAGGAGCCUCGUGCACUCAUUUUUAUCCUUUUUCUCAAGUAGGUUUUAGAAAAGUCUAGUAUUGAUUUCAAACAUCAAAUGCAUGAAGGGUAGCCAAUGGCAGCUCCACAGGGCUACCAGGGGUUCAAGCAGAUGACCUGUUGAUAGUAUUCAAAAGAAAUCUAUGGAAAGUUUCUUUGAAGUUCCUUAAUUGGGCAAUCCGAUCAACCAAGGAAAAAGACGUAAUGUCAUGUUGAUGCCAUUGGUUCUUGGUUUUGUGGAUGAAAUUCCAAAAUAGAGGCCCUCGGUAUGAACGGGUUAUUCACAUUUCUUUUGAUGAUCAUAGACAUCGAAUUUAAAGCUAAGCAGAUUAGUGACGUGUUCAUAUUAGAGUUGGUGCUAAUACUUACCGUUUGGCUAGAAUAGCAAGUAAGUUGCUGGAGUUGUGCAAAACCUAAUCGCAGAGCAUUGUUGGAUCAUGUCUUCUUCCAUGACAAGUACCAGCUCUGGUAAUAGCAAACAACGUUCAAGCCCUAGUUUGAUUGUGUUUUGUAAAUGUGGAAUUAGGGCUCCACUUGUUACAUUCAAGACAAAUGACACCCAGGUAGAAGGUUCUUGGGUUGCAUAAAUUACUAGAAGCCGAAUGGUUGUUCUUUUUUUACAUGGUAUGACCCCCCUACUUGUGCUAGAGGAAUGGAUUAUGGAAGGCAUAUUAUGUCAAGAAAAUUGGUCAAAUUGCAGGCUGAAAAUGAAGAGCUUAUAAGGAAAAAACGAAACAACGGUAAUGAAAAUUGAGGAAUUGAUGAGCUCAAAUGUGAGUGUGGCCAAAAAAGUUCAAGAGUUGUGCGACAACCACCAUCAGUUAUCGAAGAGAAAUGAAGAGUUGGUGAAGUCUUUUACAUUGUCUGAAGCCAAAGUGUUGAAGCUCCAGCUUUUGUUGAUUGUUCUUUUAGUUAUGGGCUUUGCCAUUUGUUUUAGGUCUGUGAACAAAUGAAACAUAUUGUUCUUGCCAAGAGGUCAUUUGAUGAAUGUAAUGAAACUAAGUGGAUGAAUG